rnacentral:rRNA from 1 species
UACGUAGGUGGCAAGCGUUAUCCGGAUUUAUUGGGCGUAAAGGGAACGCAGGCGGUCUUUUAAGUCUGAUGUGAAAGCCUUCGGCUUAACCGGAGUAGUGCAUUGGAAACUGGGAGACUUGAGUGCAGAAGAGGAGAGUGGAACUCCAUGUGUAGCGGUGAAAUGCGUAGAUAUAUGGAAGAACACCAGUGGCGAAAGCGGCUUUCUGGUCUGUAACUGACGCUGAGGUUCGAAAGCGUGGGUAGCAAACAGG